AACGAACGCUGGCGGCAUGCUUAACACAUGCAAGUCGAACGGAAAGGUCCUGCUUUUUUGCGCUGCUCUAGUUGCCAACGGGUGACUAACACUUGAGUACCCUGCCCUUCACUGUGGGAUAACUUAAGGCAACUGGGGCUAUUACCGCCUAGGAGUUCCUGCUGUUUGGUGGGGGUUGGAAAGUUUCGGCGGUUGGGGAUGUAAUCGCGGCGCAUCAGCUUGUUGGGUGGGUAGUGUCUUAGCAAGACAUUGACAGGUAGCCGGCCUGAGAGGGUGACCGGCCACAUUAGGACUGAGAUACGGCACAGACUCGUACGGGAGGCAGCGGUGGGGAAUAUUGCACUAGGGGCGGAGGCCUGGUGCAGCAAAGCCGCGUGCGGUAUGUCGUCCUGGGGGUUGUAUUGCACUGUCGCCUGUGACGAAACGUUAAUGACGGUAACGGGAAAAUAAGCACCGGCUAACUACGUG
rnacentral:rRNA from 1 species